rnacentral:lncRNA from 1 species
GAUAUAGAUAUAGGAAGAUGUGGUGUGAGUGCCAAUGAGACAACUCUCCAUCCAAAUAACAAUUUUAAUCAAAGUAAACCAUUAUAGGUCAAUGUACGGCCUUCAACACGGACCCUUGGCUCGCACCGAACAACAAGCUAUAAAGGGCCGCAAAAUUACUAAUGUAAAACCAUUCAAACAGGAAAACCAACGGUCUAAUCUAUAUAAAAAAAAA